GCACAUGGUGGCAUAGUGGUAAAGAAUGUGGUACGUAACCACAAGGUAGCUGGUUCGAUUCCCCACUGGGGCA